UAAUGGCUCCCUCCCAGCUUUGCAAACCACUGAUUCUGCUGUUGCCUUCAUUUAAGUUACUCUUGCAGCUGUGGUGAGAUCUUUGGCUUCUCCUUAUCUCCUUACACCAUGGAAAAGGAGCCUGAAAACACAGAUUCUAGUUUGUGAAGAACUUCCUAAAUACAAAUUCUUACUCUAACUGGUCCCAUGAUAACUUCUGAAGUGGAAAUUGAGAAAAAAAUACAUCAGUCCAUCCUUCCUGUGGCACCAAAAAUACACAAGUCCAGUUCAUAUAUAAGCAGCACUGAGGAAUUUGCCUUUCUAAAGAUGAUCUGCUAGACUUGCCAUUUGGACAAUGAGGCUGAUUCUCCAUUUCAUUGUAACUGAGGCAGUCUUUUAUGGAUUUGAUAGCAUUUAACCACUGCUUUAUUUUACAUAGCUGUAUAUGGCUGCAUUGUUAACUGUCUAAGAGACAGUAACUAACUCUUCAGAUCUUAUGAAGACAUGGGGCACUUUUUAGUCUUAGCAAAGCAGGCAGUUCUCAUCACCUAUAGGUGAUGUCCCCCCUCCAUGGGAGUUACCACUUCUCAUUGCUCACCAAAGUAGCCCAGAAAGGAGUCCCAUGACCUUCCUAUUUAUUUGCCUGCGCCAGAGCCCUGGAGAGCAGUCUGUUGCUCAAAAACUUUUUAUGAGCAAAAGAAAACACAUCUCCUGUGAAAAGCCAAGAGGUUAUUGCUAGUAUUGUUGAAAUCUUAACAGUCUUAUCACAGAAUUAUUAUUAGUCCAGAU